rnacentral:rRNA from 1 species
UACAGAGGGUGCAAGCGUUUAAUCGGAAUUACUGGGCGUAAAGCGUGCGCAGACGGUUGCGUAAGUCAGAUGUGAAAGCCCCGGGCUCAACCUGGGAAUUGCAUUUGAGACUGCGUAGCUAGGGUGCGGAAGAGGGAAGCGGAAUUUCCGGUGUAGCGGUGAAAUGCGUAGAUAUCGGAAGGAACACCAGUGGCGAAAGCGGCUUCCUGGUCCAGCACCGACGUUCAGGCACGAAAGCGUGGGGAGCAAACAGG